rnacentral:rRNA from 1 species
ACGUAGGGAGCAAGCGUUAUCCGGAUUUAUUGGGUGUAAAGGGUGCGUAGACGGGAGAUUAAGUUAGUUGUGAAAGCCCUUGGCUUAACUGAGGAAUUGCAACUAAAACUGGUUUUCUUGAGUGCAGGAGAGGUAAGUGGAAUUCCUAGUGUAGCGGUGAAAUGCGUAGAUAUUAGGAGGAACACCAGUGGCGAAGGCGACUUACUGGACUGUAACUGACGUUGAGGCACGAAAGUGUGGGGAGCAAACAG